GACGAACGCUGGCGGCGUGCUUAACACAUGCAAGUCGAACGGAAAGACCCUGCUUUUGUGGGGUUCUCGAUUGGCGAACGGGUGUGUAACACGUGAGUAACCUGCCCUUGACUUUGGGAUAACUUCAGGAAACUGCGGCUAAUACCGGAUAGGAGCUCCUGCUGCAUGGUGGGGGUUGGAAAGUUUCGGCGGUUGGGGAUGGACUCGCGGCUUAUCAGCUUGUUGGUGGGGUAGUGGCUUACCAAGGCUUUGACGGGUAGCCGGCCUGAGAGGGUGAACGGCCACAAGGGGACUGAGAGACGGCGCAGACUGCUACGGGAGGCAGCAGGCGGGAAUAUUGCACAAUGGGCGGAAGUCUGAUGCAGCAACGCUGCGUUCGGGAUGACGGGUUUCGGGUUGUAAACCGCUUUCGACUGUGACGAAGCGGGAGUGACGGUAACGGGUAAAGAAGCACCGGCUAACUACGUG
rnacentral:rRNA from 1 species